rnacentral:lncRNA from 1 species
AUGGGAAUGCAUGCUUUCUCUGCCUGAGAUGCUGUCCUCAACCCUAUGUGUGGACACUGCACUCACAGAGGCUGAUCUGUACACACAUAUAGACACGGAUGCACACAUUCAACUUUACAUAGAAAGAGUUGGCUCAACAACUUCAUUGUGUUUUUUCUCACUUUGGGGUGCUGCUUCCCAGGGGAGCCUUGAUGAAUGCAGGCUGUGAGCAUGACCUCAUCUGUCAAGGUGGAGACAAGAGCUUAGGUGCUGGGGAGCGGACUGGGCUAUUCUGCAAUUCAUGAAGCAAAGCAGGGAAAAGAGGAAGAAGCCAAAGAAGGCAGAAGGCCAUAUUUGGUUGGAGUUGUCAUCAUGUCACUUGGCCCCUGAAGACCUAUGUUAGGAUGGUGGCCAGCCAAGAUGGUGGACCCUUUAACAGCAUCAGUUACUGAAAGAUUAUGUGAGUUGGAGCUGCUGUCAGCCCAUGCUGGACUACAGCAGGAGUGAGAAG